rnacentral:rRNA from 1 species
AGCUACCCCGGGGAUAACAGGCUUAUCUCCCCCAAGAGUUCACAUCGACGGGGAGGUUUGGCACCUCGAUGUCGGCUCAUCGCAUCCUGGGGCUGUAGUCGGUCCCAAGGGUUGGGCUGUUCGCCCAUUAAAGCGGUACGCGAGCUGGGUUCAGAACGUCGUGAGACAGUUCGGUCCCUAUCCGUCGUGGGCGUAGGAAAUUUGAGAGGAGCUGUCCUUAGUACGAGAGGACCGGGAUGGACAUACCUCUGGUGUACCAGUUGUCGUGCCAACGGCAUAGCUGGGUAGCUAUGUGUGGACGGGAUAAGUGCUGAAAGCAUCUAAGCAUGAAGCCCCCCUCAAGAUGAGAUUUCCCAACUUCGGUUAUAAGAUCCCUCAAAGAUGAUGAGGUUAAUAGGUUCGAGGUGGAAGCAUGGUGACAUGUGGAGCUGACGAAUACUAAUCGAUCGAAGACUUAAUCAA